UAUCUUAGCAUCUUCAUCAUGGUAUUGCAAAGUUUACUUAGUGGGGUCGUAAGUCUCGAUGAUGGCCGUUAAUGAAUAGUAUUCUGCGUCUCAAGUCAACGUACGCCCGCCAGCCACGCGAAAACCAACGACUCCGCGACAUUAGGAAAUAAGAAUCGUUAUUUACGUCGACACAUGAUACCAGUGCCUGCGUAUGUUAGACCCUGAGUAUAUGGCGGAAGCGAACUGGCGGGAACAGAAGACCCACGACUAUUCAUAUUAAGCACUCUUUCGGUUCAACUUGUCUACCUGACAAUCUUAAUACAGCCCACGCCGUUGUCCCGCUCACAGAGGAUGUAUACAUGAUAGGAGAAAUUAUGUGCACGAAUGCGCCUCGCCAUUCACACAUGCGACUCAAAGGUCUCGACAGUAACGGUCACGAAUGCGGGGUCGACAGCGUGUCAUCUCCCGCUGCGUAGUUCUUCUACCAACUGUGGGAACUGCCAGCGAAAGUAACGAGUGCUACGGCCUUCCUUAUGGCAAUUCCGGUGCGAAAUACCAUUCGGGGAGCAUCGUAUUCAUUGGCGUUGUCCGGAGGAGGGUUCGCGAAGAGCAUGCGAGCCAAGAAUAAAUAGUGUAGAAUCUUACUUUCGUUCGUCCGCGAUUCAUGUCCGCUGACAUGUUGCAGUUCUUAGUUGCUGUCAUUACUAUCAGGAUUAUCUUUAGGAAUAUUAUACUUUAUUGUGAAAAGUGUAUGUGCAUGUCACCUCGAAAUAAACUGUUUCAUUGAAAA